UGCCAGCCGCCGCGGUAAUACGAAGGGUGCUAGCGUUGUUCGGAAUUACUGGGCGUAAAGAGCAUGUAGGCGGACUGUUAAGUCUGAUGUGAAAGCCCGGGGCUCAACCCCGGAAGUGCAUUGGAUACUGGCAGUCUUGAGUAUGGGAGAGGAAAGUGGAAUACCUGGUGUAGCGGUGAAAUGCGUUGAGAUCAGGUGGAACACCAGCGGCGAAAGCGAUCUUCUGGGCCGAUACUGACGCUGAGGGACGAAAGCGUGGGGAGCAAACAGGAUUAGAUA
rnacentral:rRNA from 1 species